CAGCACUCUGAAAAGGUGAAACCAAUAAGAUUAAAUUGGACAAUGCAUUUUUUUGCCCCCUUUCUUCCCCCUUUGGUGUAUCAUUAAGAUUUAACUCCGCACAUUUUGGUAAAAGAAUGGGGGUCCGCAUGAGGGAAGAAGAGGAGAGAGAAGAGAGGAAAAGAGUGAGAGGGGGAAGCGAAUAGGAAGCGGGGUAGAUAUAUUAGAGAGGCUCUGAUAGAAACCUGCAUGUGGAGAAAGUGGACGGGUGGGAUGUUGGAAGAAGGAGAUGAAGCACCGGUGCAGGAGCGGCUGCUGUGCAGUCACAGAGAAGGCUCACAGCGCUGUAGCUGCAGGAGGCGUCCGAACAAACGCCGAAGGAGGACGGAGAUGCUGGAAGGGGGUUUUCCUUAAUGCUGCUUGAUUUUAGGAAGAGCUUGUCCCUAUUUAGCAGGAUAGGGGUUUAUGUACUGGAUAAAUUGAGGAUUAAAAUUUGAUUCAUCCUUAUUGCCCUUUAGAAAUCCAAUUUCCAAUUUUAUAUUGGCUUCUUUGAAAAUUAAGAUGUGGAAGAGAGUGUGGUUUGAUUUUCUGGGAAUCUAACGUCAGCAACUUUCAUGGCAGGAAAUCAAAAUGAAAUUGUUUUGAAGUGAUAGUGGUAUUCAAAUGUAAAAACCUAUCAUGGUCUCUGUUGGUUUAACUGUGACAAGAUUAAAAGAAUCAGUGACUAAAUAAUAGCUUUACAAAGUUUGUUUAUGCCCUUUACUUGUUGUAAGCACAUAAGUGACAUUAUAUGAAAACAAUGCAAAUAUCCUUAAUCUCUUCUAGAAAUGGACCAAUCAGGAUUUUACGACAAUACUGAAUUUCAAUUCUGGUCAAUCGUUCUGAUCUGAAAAUAAAAUGUUAUUUUUUUUGUAUUCCAAUUUUUCUCUAUGAUAGAUCAUAGAGGAAUAGUGUCGUUUGAUGGAGAUAGUAAUUUUGAAUUCAAUAGAAAGCAAAGAAUUACAAAAAUAAUCAAACAUUUCUCUUUUUUUUGUUUCUAUCGAACCCCAAAAAGUUUCUCUUCAUGGAGGGUUUAAGUUGACGUCUUUAUAGAAUGAAAAUGGUGUGAGUUUGUACGUGUGAUAGGUUUAAUGAGUCAGGGGGAAAAGUCAGAUUUCUUGUAAUUUGAAUGCUGUUUGAUCAUUGAACGUUAAUAGUAGAAUACUGUGAUUAUAUAUCGGACAACGCAAGAGCUAACAUCAUUCUCACAUGAUUUCAAGAUUUCCACUCUUUGAGUCCGAUUCACAAUUUUACAUUCUUUUUUUUUCCCUAUGUAAAUUAUUGGACUCAUUUCACACUUUAUGGCUGGAAAUGACUCAAGGUGAUCCACAGCACAAAGUAAGAGACUGCAGUUUGCUUUAGCCCCAUAGCAAUAGAUCAGGAAAAACAAGCAGAGAAUGAACAUUAUUGAUGAUUUGUGCAGACGGACCUCAGACGAUCUUGAAUUAUGUGUGAGAGCAAAAGAUAGACACGUGCACAUUGCUGUGUUUACUUGGGUCUUGUGUAUGUGUGUGUGUGUGUGUGUGUGGGGGGGGGGGGAUGCGCGCGUGUGUGUGUGUGCGUGUGAUAGCCGAGUCAGUUUUCCCUCAGAUGUUUCUUGUGACCUUUGACCCUGGAGUCGGGGUCAAACCCUGACAAAUGAGACGGUUGAGCUCUGAGCAGAGCAGCAAACAUUCCACAACCAUCUUCUGUCCUCCUUCUCCUGCUCCUUACAUCACUCACCUCUCUCUCUCUCUCUCUCUCUUUCUCUCUCUCUCUCUCUCUCCAUCUCCUCUAACUAUGACGGGAACAAAUUAUGUUUAAAACUAAAAAUUAUGAUAUUGGAUAAGUUUAACAUGUGCCUUUUUAUAUUAAACCAGAGAAAUCAUUUGAUCUGAGAGAAGUAAAUGCUGCUAAAGAGUUGAAAUUUUACAACUAUGUACUUUAACAACACACUCCCUGUUCUGUCUAUGAGUGCGUGUGUGUACGCAUGCGAGAGCGUGGGUGUGCGUGUGUGUGUGUGGGGGUGUGUGUGUGUGUGUGUGCAUGUGUGUGUGUGUGUGUGUGUGUAGAGUCAGUGAUGUCAAGGAUGAGAAAUGUUGCUGUGAGGUUUUUUUACACACGCUGCUGGCUCCAGCAUUUCCGGCAACAUUUCUCACUCUGCCUCCCUCACACCAUUCGCUCUCCUGCAAUAUCCCCACAUUUUUCCGUCCUUUCCGUUUUCUUCCCUGCACCCUCCCCUCCUCACUUUCAAUCCCCACUUCAAACUUCCUCUCCUUGUGCCAUCCUACUCAUCCUAAUCUCAGCCCUUUUCCUUUCUCUCUCUUUUUCUCUCUCGCUUGUGCUCUCUCUCACAUGCACACUCUCUCCACCCACUAUUCUCUCUGAUUUUCUUGACAUAGAAUGCAACCACCUGUGUCUUUAGGAUGAAUGUGAGGAGUUAUCCACCUUACUCCAGUGAGAGCUGGUUAAGGUAAGUGGGUUGUUGUUUAUUCUACUUUUUUUUUUGAAUGAAAUUGCUGUAACAAGCCUAACUACCCUUUACAAAAGCUCCAGCUACAAGCCACUGCUGUGAUAACUGUGAAAGCAGUUGUCUAAUUAUGAACGUCAGCAGAGCAGCCUGUGUCGGAAAGGACAUGCAAUGCAGUAAGACGGUGUGACGCUAUUGAACUUGUACAUUGAUGUAAUGUAACAGUUACUGGAACGCAGUUCCACACAGCACAUAAUUCUAAUAAAAAAAA